UGUUACAAAUGCAGGAACCAAGCUGACUGAAGGUGAUGAGGGGAAAAGGUGCUGACCCAAGUAAUUUUGGAAAUGAGUGGAAUCUGUACAUUAAAGGAAAAAAACUGAACAUAAUUACCGUACUGUAGUUAUAAUCUAGUUAUUUCCCAUGGAGCACAGGCUAACAAUUUUGAUACUGCUCUGUAUGUAUACCAGAACUGAACAAUUAGGUAAGUGGCUGGAGCCUGGUUUCUCACUGCUGGAGUGGGAGGUUACAGAUCGGCAAGGGGAAGAGGCUAGAAUGAUCCAUUUAUUAAUGGUUUAGAGUGGGAGUGAACCAUAUGAACUCAUGCUUAGCUUAAUACAGAUACCAUGUCAAUGGUUACAUAUAGAAACUUUUAUGUUUCUGUGACUUUGUAGUACCAGAAAGUAAAUAAGUGCUCAGUUAAACAACAACAACAACAUACACACACACACACACACACACACACACACACACACACACACACAAAAUGCACCCACAAUAAUGGGUAUGUGUCAAACUGCCAUACUGAAAGAACUCCUAAUAGCCAAAGCUGGAACAAUUUGAGCAACUAAAUAAAGUAGUAUUGGAUUAUAACCCAAAGUACAAAAUAAAUACCUGUGAGCUCAUACUGAUAUAAAUAAUGAUUUAAUAAAUAAACAGCGGAGAAAAGUCAAAUCUCCUGUUCAGAAAAAUCUCAAAUAAUUUGUGGAAAUACUCUUCCCUCAAGGAUGUAGAACAUAGCUCCCCAGUCCUUAAACGUGAGAACACACAAGCCUGGUCUAACCGCAAGAAAUACAUCAGACAAAUCCCAAUUGAAGGACAUUCUACAAAAUACCUAACCAACACUCCUUAAAAUAGUCAAAGUCAUCAAAAGCAAGGAAGGUGUGGGAAACUGUCACAGCCAAGAGGAGGCUAAGGAGACAUGACUACUAAAUAAAAAGUUUAUUUUCAAAAAAUCAAUAGAAACAACAAAUACUAAAUAAUGCUAGCUAAAACCCAGAAUGCCCUGAACAAUCUACUUCACUAAAAUAUAUAGAAGUGUUUUCUGGGCCAGGGGCAGUGGCUCAUGCCUGUAAUCCCAGCACUUUGGGAGGCCAAGGCAGGUGGAUCACAAGUUCAGGAGUUCAAGACCAGCCUGGCCAACAUGGUGAAACCCCGUCUUUACUAAAAAUGCAAAAAUUAGCUGGGCAUGGUGGUGGCUGCCUGUAGUCCCAGCUACUCAGGAGGCUGAGACAGGAGAAUCACUUGAACCUAGGAGGCAGAGGUUGCAGUGAGCCAAGUUCAUGCCACUCCACUGCAGCCUGGGCA
rnacentral:lncRNA from 1 species